rnacentral:lncRNA from 1 species
AUCGCGAUUGCAAAGGGCUGCCUGAGUGCCCUUUCUUUGCAGGAAUAUCCUCAAACCACUUCAGAAUCUCAUCCAGUAAAUGAAGAUGAAGAUUCAAAUUAGAAGCAAGAAAUACUGGAAUAGCAGCAAGAAAUGAUGAGGCAAGUAAGAAAGUGAGAAAAGACAGAAUCUGCAAUCAUUUAGGAUCGCUAUGUGUGGAGGGGCGUGUGUACAUAUGUGUGUGUGCAUUCCAAAUAUGUAAUCAAAUAUAAUUAAUGGAAUAAACAUGUAAUAGUAUUUGAUAUUAAUUACAGAGACUUCAUUCAUCAAGAGAAAAAUUAUUAAAUAAUGUGUGGUUUCAUAAAGGUAGGGAAGAUCAUACUCUGGAAACCAUUAAAUCAGAAUUGCUUAAUAUUUUUAAGUGUCUAUAUGAAUAAACUUCCUUAAUGUACAAAAUUCAGAUAUGAAUAAUUCCUAAGAAAUGUGACUACCUUAAGUUUACUAAUUUUUAAGGUUAGAGGUGUAUGGCUUUCAUAUGAAUUAAAAUGAAUAUUAUACAGGAUUACCUACUGGGCCUCACAAAUUUAUCAGAGAACAGUAUGUCAAUUGGGGAUAGAAAAUAUUUCCAGAUUCAUUUGAACAGACUAUUUUUACAUAUUGUAAUUCCUUUGCAAAAAAAAUUUGAUUUUAUCUUUAUUUUGCCUUUUAAAAAAUUCAUCAUUAAAUUGUAAUAUUCUGCAGAACACUGAUAAUGUCAGUGUCAUUGUUCCAUUUUAAUGUCAUGUCAUACAUACUGUUAGAGUUCUAGUUUCUCUUCAGACCCUCUUCUAGACUAGACCCAACAUCUGGUUCUGGUGCACCAUCUAGUGGCUGUAGGAAUCACUGAUGCCUGAAUGUUACUUGCUUUUACUGCAUUGUAGAAAUUACUAGAGCAUUUAUUUUUUAGAAAAUAGUGAGAAUUCUAAAAGGCAAAACCAAAUUCACAAAAUUAUUUUCUUCUAAAAUUCAAAUGCAAAUCAGUUAAUAAGCAAUAGAACUCUUAACGUGAGGGAAUCCAUAGUGCAUAAUUGUUUUGUAUAGCACAUAUUUAAAUGACCAUAUUAAUUUAAAUGGCAAUGCAUACUCAUUUAAGUACUAAUAUUUAUUUGUGAAUAUGCAUAUUUAUUUAAAUACUCUGUAAACUGCUUCAUGUACAGAGACCCACAAUUUAGACAGUGGAUAUAAAUAAUUAACCUGCUGACAAUAAUGUGUAUGUGAUGGCUGAGAUAUAUUUUUUCCUUUUUUUGACAUGCCUUAAAUGAUUAAGCACAAGCAGGCAUUAAUAAACUCAUUCAAAAAUACUUGGUCACAUCUUCGUGUUAUUAUCUAAACUGUACACUCAUGAAAAUAUACUUAUUUUUAAUUUAGAAAGGCACUCCUCAGCAUUUCUUUUUCUAUUCUAAAUUCUUUGCUAAUAUCUAGAAAAUGUACCUCUUUCAAAUACCUACAAAUAUGUUUAAGUUACUAAGUUGUAAAUAAAAAGAUGACUGAUC